rnacentral:rRNA from 1 species
UAACCGUGCAAAGGUAGCGCAAUCAAUUGUCCCAUAAAUCGAGACUAGUAUGAAUGGCUAAACGAGGUCUUAACUGUCUCUUGCAGGCAAUCGGUGAAAUUGAUCUCCCUGUGCGAAAGCAGGGAUAAACCCAUAAGACGAGAAGACCCUGUGGAACUUCAAAACCAGCGGCCACCCCAAAAUACAUAACCCCCCACUGGGCUCACUUAUUCACUAAGCCACUGGCCCGCGUUUUUCGGUUGGGGCGACCUUGGAGAAAAACAAAUCCUCCAAAAAUUAGACCAUCCCUCUAGACUGAGAGCAACCCCUCAACGUGCUAAUAGCAACCAGACCCAAUAUAAUUGAUCUAUGGACCAAGCUACCCCAGGGAUAACAGCGCAAUCUCCCCCGAGAGUCCGUAUCGACGGGGAGGUUUACGACCUCGAUGUUGGAUCAGGACAUCCUAGUGGUGCAGCCGCUACUAA